GAAGUUAUUAAAUGAUUUUUUAUACAAUAAAUUUAUAUUUAGGCAGAAAAUUUUUCAACACACUCAUUUGAGUAAAUUUUGAAGCACGCGUUGAUAAAUUUGAAGAGGUCGACGCUUUCCCAAAAUUUGAAGAGCUCCAUAGAUGGCAUAGCGGCGAAAAUCGAAUGUAGCCUUAAUGUCUGCUUCAUGUAUUCCCCGAUCGCACUUUUUAACAAUAUAGAGCAAAACAAACAUGGAGCAAAUCGACAUUUUUUUCAAAAUAGAACGCGUCAUUUUGAAUUUGAUAGAAUGACGUUUAUCGCAAGACUUCCCACUAUCUGAAUCGGAUUGAGAGCUACGAACUAAAGAAAAACUAAAGGAUUUGUCUAGUAUGUUUAAUAAUUUAUCAAGACCUGCACUCAUGUAUUCAUAUAAGUGAGUCCCAUAUCAUGAAUAUUUCCCAAAAUCCAUUCUAUGUGCUUGAAGGGACGGU